GACGUAGGGGGCGAGCGUUGUCCGGAUUCACUGGGCGUAAAGCGCGCGUAGGCGGCUCGUUAAGUCGGAUGUGAAAACCCGGGGCUCAACCCCGGGCCUGCACCCGAUACUGGCGGGCUGGAGGCAGGUAGGGGAGAGGUGAGUGGAAUUCCCAGUGUAGCGGUGAAAUGCGUAGAUAUUGGGAGGAACACCAGUGGCGAAGGCGGCUCACUGGACCGGAACUGACGCUGAGGCGCGAAAGCGUGGGGAGCAAACAGG
rnacentral:rRNA from 1 species